rnacentral:rRNA from 1 species
UAGCUAGUUGGUGAGGUAAAGGCUUACCAAGGCGACGAUCUGUAGCGGGUCUGAGAGGAUGAUCCGCCACACUGGAACUGAGACACGGUCCAGACUCCUACGGGAGGCAGCAGUGGGGAAUUUUGGACAAUGGGGGCAACCCUGAUCCAGCCAUGCCGCGUGAGUGAAGAAGGCCUUCGGGUUGUAAAGCUCUUUCGGCCGGGAAGAAAUCGCAUGGGCCAAUACCCUGUGUGGAUGACGGUACCGGAAUAAGAAGCACCGGCUAACUACGUGCCAGCAGCCGCGGUAAUACGUAGGGUGCGAGCGUUAAUCGGAAUUACUGGGCGUAAAGCGUGCGCAGGCGGUUUUGUAAGACAGGCGUGAAAUCCCCGGGCUUAACCUGGGAACUGCGUUUGUGACUGCAAGGCUAGAGUACGGCAGAGGGGGGUGGAAUUCCACGUGUAGCAGUGAAAUGCGUAGAGAUGUGGAGGAACACCAAUGGCGAAGGCAGCCCCCUGGGUCGAUACUGACGCUCAUGCACGAAAGCGUGGGUAGCAAACAGGAUUAGAUACCCUGGUAGUCCACGCCCUAAACUAUGUCAACUAGGUGUUGGGUGGGUAAAACCAUUUAGUACCGUAGCUAGCGCGUGAAGUUGACCGCCUGGGGAGUACGGCCGCAAGGUUAAAACUCAAAGGAAUUGACGGGGACCCGCACAAGCGGUGGAUGAUGUGGAUUAAUUCGAUGCAACGCGAAAAACCUUACCUACCCUUGACAUGCCAGGAACUUGCCAGAGAUGGCUUGGUGCCCGAAAGGGAGCCUGGACACAGGUGCUGCAUGGCUGUCGUCAGCUCGUGUCGUGAGAUGUUGGGUUAAGUCCCGCAACGAGCGCAACCCUUGUCGUUAAUUGCCAUCAUUUAGUUGGGCACUUUAACGAGACUGCCGGUGACAAACCGGAGGAAGGUGGGGAUGACGUCAAGUCCUCAUGGCCCUUAUGGGUAGGGCUUCACACGUCAUACAAUGGUCGGUACAAAGGGUUGCCAAGCCGCGAGGCGGAGCCAAUCCCAGAAAGCCGAUCGUAGUCCGGAUUGCAGGCUGCAACUCGCCUGCAUGAAGUCGGAAUCGCUAGUAAUCGUGGAUCAGCAUGUCACGGUGAAUACGUUCCCGGGUCUUGUACACACCGCCCGUCACACCAUGGGAGCGGGUUCCGCCAGAAGUAGGUAGCCUAACCGCAAGGGGGGCGCUUACCACGGCGGGGUUCGUGACUGGGGUGAAGUCGAAACAAGGUAGCCGUAGGGGAACCUGCGGCUG